UGUGUGUAGUAGACGUUCCUGACUCGGUGACUCCAGAGGUCGCAGUUCCAGGUGAUAUUUCCAGAGAGAAUAGUAACUGCAGCGAACAAAUAUUUUCGUACUGCUACGGAAACGACGGUGGGCCAUCGGGGAGAGGGGAUGGCAAAUAACGGGAAUCUAUCGUCUCAUUUCUCUGCAAUUCUUGGUGUUCCGGAACAGGUGUCACUAUUUUUCCGGCCUUUGGUUGCGUUAGAGGGUAUUGACUUUCGUUCCGCGUUCUUGUUUUUCUUUGUGUUGUUGAUAUUAUUACCAAUAGUUGCCAACAUGAAGAGGUCGAGGACAAGCGAAAUGUGGUCAUAUUUCGAAACUCUUGAUCGAGAGUUUGCGAAAUGUACUUUGUGCGGUAAGAAAUUAUCGUACAAAUCGACGACGACGAAUUUAAAAAAAAAAACAUCUUCAGAAAUCACAUUUAAUUGUGAAUUUCUCUUCACAAAGACCUUCGGAGCUAGAUUUGGGUGAAACCCUUCCUGUAGAGGUGAUCCUUGGCACCAGUAGUGUGGAAGAGGAGCGAGAGGCACACCAACACCAGCAGAUGAGUCUCCGUUUAAUACUUGGGAUAUUAUAACAGUAAGUUAUAGCUCCGAUAGUCUUCCAGCAGCAGCAAAUGUUACACAGUCCUAUAGAGGCAAACUUGAAGUAUAAAGUAAUAGUGUUUUGCAUACAAUGGCAAACUUGACCUUUCGCUUAAAAUGGAGUAUCGGCUUUGAAAUUUGGUCACUGGAUACAACUAUAUUAUCUUUCAUGUUGAUAGCAGCAAUCAUCAGAUUGCAAUCCAGUUAAGUACCUGUGAGGCAUGAGAUGUCAAAAAUACUUGUGGGUUAUUGGUAGCCUGUGUCAAGGCAUGUGGCACCUCAAAGUUUGUAAAUACAGUAGCAUUUAGUUUUCUGCUUUACUUAAAAAUUGGUAGCUGUAGCACCCAUUCUGACAUUCAAUUAUUUUGUAUUUCAAGUUUCUUAGAAUGAUACUGACAUCAGUUUGUUAACACUAAUCCAUAUAUUAUUGUAAAUAUAUGCUGCUAUUUUCCUCAGAUGUUAACUGAAAUUGUUUUAUUGUUAUGAUAACACUUCAGCCUUUGCAAACUUGCAGUAUAGGUUACCUGCUGAGAAAUAUUUACUGGAAGAAAUGGUGUCUUGAAUAGGACCGAAAGGAAAACCACUGAAAAUGGCAAACAUGAAUUGGUGAAACAUCUUGUGCUCAAUACUAAAUUUCAUUUGCAAAACACGGAAGUUUUCCUAUCUUUGUGGUGGAACACAACAAAUUCUCAUAAUUUUGCUAGUUUGCAUUCUAGAAAGGGUGCCAGAAAUGGAAGAGUAUAAUUUUUAUUAAAUCGAGCAUUAAAUGUAAGUAGGUUGGAGUACAGAAAGGGUGCAACUGGCCUUCCCCACUGUAGCCUGAUGUGCUCCAACAUGCAUUUGUACUGAUGUGCAGGUGGUUAUAACACUAGUAUCAAACUGCAUGGUACCCACUUACUAAUGUGACCUACCCUUGCAUGAUGAUCUGCAGACAGCAAGGAAUCUGCUACUGCUCUUACUACCUGUCCAACAGUUGUGGAGGAUUUUUUCCCCUUGGUGCUUGACAUGACAUGUUUUGCCCUCUGCCCUUAAAAUCUCAAUUCUUGUUACAUUUUUCAUCCACUUUCUAUCUCCUGAUGGACCUGUAUUGAUUAAAAAACUAAUCACUGCAGAGGUGAUUGUAGAACUUUUGCUAGUGGCAGUGUGGAGGGGCUCCACUCUUUAAAAAUUAAAAUUACAUUGUGGGACAUGGAAUUAUUAUUAGAUGCUUUCAUGGACAUUUUGUUUACUGAAAAAGUCAGUCAUUAUCUGAGGUAUUUAAAUGUUAACUUCAAAUCUAAAACUGCAUCAGAAGAUAAAUUUCAGUAAGUCUUUAACAAGUUUCAGUAUCUUGCUUCACAUGCUGGACCCUCCAACUAUAAAAAACAGUAUUUUGCAGAGAACAGCUAUUCAGAUGUUAACAUCCCAGAAUUUGUGUAGAAGAUAUCCCUUACAUUGUUAGUUUCAUUGUGGUCACACUCUACAGUGUAGUGUUAUCAGCAUACAUAUAGAAGUUUGAAGAACAUAUUAAAUUAAUUGUCUGACAUGCCUUAAGUGAAUAUGUUUACUACUAAUAUGAGUCAGCUAAGUAGUUGCUGCAAGUUUUUAUGUUGUUUCUAAAGUGUCUUUAGACAAGGAUAUUUCUGCUGUUUGUUUCCU